rnacentral:rRNA from 1 species
GUGGGGAAUAUUGGACAAUGGGCGAAAGCCUGAUCCAGCCAUGCCGCGUGUGUGAAGAAGGUCUUCGGAUUGUAAAGCACUUUAAGUUGGGAGGAAGGGCAGUAAGUUAAUACCUUGCUGUUUUGACGUUACCGACAGAAUAAGCACCGGCUAACUUCGUGCCAGCAGCCGCGGUAAUACGAAGGGUGCAAGCGUUAAUCGGAAUUACUGGGCGUAAAGCGCGCGUAGGUGGUUUUGUAAGUUGGAGGUGAAAUCCCCGGGCUCAACCUGGGAACUGCCUCCAAAACUGCAUGACUAGAGUACCGUAGAGGGUAGUGGAAAUUCCUGUGUAGCGGUGAAAUGCGUAGAUAUAGGAAGGAACACCAGUGGCGAAGGCGACUACCUGGACUGAUACUGACACUGAGGUGCGAAAGCGUGGGGAGCAAACAGGAUUAGAUACCCUAGUAGUCC